rnacentral:rRNA from 1 species
GUCUACGGCCAUGCCACCCUGAACAAGCCUGAUCCUGUCUGAUCUAGGAAGCUAAGCAGGGUCGGGCCUGGUUAGUAUUUGGAUGAGAGACCAUCUAGGAAGACCAGGUGCUGUAGGUG